rnacentral:rRNA from 1 species
GGAGCGCAACUGACGCUCAUGCUCGAAAGUGCGGGUAUCGAACAGGAUUAGAUACCCUGGUAGUCCGCACGGUAAACGAUGGAUGCCCGCUAUUUGUCCAUUAGGAUAAGUGGCCAAGUGAAAACGUUAAGCAUCCCACCUGGGGAGUACGCCGGCAACGGUGAAACUCAAAGGAAUUGACGGGGGCCCGCACAAGCGGAGGAACAUGUGGUUUAAUUCGAUGAUACGCGAGGAACCUUACCCGGGCUUGAAUUGCUGAGGAAAGAUCCAGAGAUGGUGAUGCCCUUCGGGGCCUCAGUGAAGGUGCUGCAUGGUUGUCGUCAGCUCGUGCCGUGAGGUGUCGGCUUAAGUGCCAUAACGAGCGCAACCCCUCUCUUCAGUUGCCAUCAGGUUAAGCUGGGCACUCUGGAGACACUGCCACCGUAAGGUGUGAGGAAGGUGGGGAUGACGUCAAAUCAGCACGGCCCUUACGUCCGGGGCUACACACGUGUUACAAUGGGUGGUACAGAGAGUUGGGUGCCCGCAAGGUCACUCUAAUCAAUAAAUCCAUCCUCAGUUCGGACUGGGGUCUGCAACCCGACCCCACGAAGCUGGAUUCGCU